UCUGCCAUGUGCUGCUUCAGCUGCUGUGGAGGGAAUGUUUGCAAGCCACUGGUAUUUCCCGGUUAAAUUCGGUCGAUGCUUUUAAUCCCUCACUCUACUUGGUCUCUCAGCAGCAUUCCGUACCGUGCCGAAAAACUCCCUUCUUCCUUUACUCCUCCUGGUUUUCCUCUCAUCUCUUCAGCUACCACUUGUCAGUCUCCUUUGCCUUCUUACCUUCUGCCACUUAACUUUUGUAGCGUUCCUCUGGUUUUUCCCUCAGUUUUCUUUUCCUUGUACUCUACAGCAGGUUUUCUACUUUAAAGGGCCAUAAAGUAAAAUCAUUGGGCUUUGCAGGGUACAAAGUCUGUCUUUAGCAACUUCUCAACUCUGUUAUGGUAGCGUGAAAGCGGCCAUAAACAAGAAUUAGACUAAUGGGCAUGGCUUAUUCCAAAAGCCUCUGUUUACAAAAACAGACGGGCUGGAUUUUGCAUGUGGUGUGCCAGGCCAUAUUUUAUAUGCUUCCUAGUGAGGUACCCUUUCACGUGUCCCCAUAUCUGUAUAUCCAGCUACCUAACAUCCACAUCUAAGUGUCUCUAUAGCAUCUCAUGAAAGAUCUUAACCUAGAAAUUCUGCCCUUUCCCUCCAGAUCUGGUCUCUCUCCAGUGUCCUUAAUAAGAGGCACUGCCAUUCAGAUGGUUGCACAAGGCAGAAAAUAGAGGAGUACCUAAAAGAGGGUGGAAGAUGCUUAUUGCUUGGUUGCCCAGAAGAAUCAUGGCUGUUGCUGAUAAUUAUGACUGACAGCAAGGAAAGCCUGCCAGGCCCUCCCUUGUUCCUAGACAACAGACUCAACACUGAUUAAACUUACAACCCUGGAAUUUAAUAAAUUUCCUAGUCACUGAGUUUUGGACUUAGAACAACAACAAAAAAACAUAAAAAAAAAAAGAAACCAAACCAGAAACAGAAGUAAGUAUUGGCUUCUUGAUGAAUGCUCAAUGACGGAUUUAAAAACUCGGUGUGUAUUCCAGAAGUUACUGAUACACGUAAUCCAUUUGAUCGAUGCAAGGGUAACAA